AAUGCAGUUUAUGAGUCCUGUUAGUUUUUUCUUAUUUCAAUUUAUUAGCUUAAUAUAUUUUUCUUGAAUUCUAUUGUUUGGCUUUUGGAAAAUAUAAAAUGGUUAUAGCCUGGUCCGACUUGUAGAAAGUACUAGCCUUAACCUUACACAGUUGGCACUUCAUCAUAUCUACUUUCUCUUUUUUGAACCGUGUUCAUCAUGCCUCAGUCUCAAAGAAGAUACAUUCAGAGAAGAAGAAAGCUAGGGCCUUCCACGAAAUGCAGGCCAAAGUUGAGAAAGAGAUGGACAGUGUUUAAGGUUAUUGAAGAUGGAAACCUGACUCUUAUCCUUCAGGAGGCAAAUUGAGACAGUAGAUGAAGAGGAUUGUUAUGCAGAGAUCCUAAAGAAUGCUAUUAUCAUGUGAGAUGAAUCAGCACUCCCAUGGGUGGAUCCAGCAAUGACACAAUUGCUACUAAAGGACUGCUCAUGUCAAGGGACAGCAAAUAGGAGAAUAAGGCUAAGGAUUCCAAAUAAAGGAUUUGUCCUCCUUUAGCUACCGUAAUUUGUUUCCAAGUAAACAAAGCUCAAAGCUACAAGAAUACACAUUUAUGUCAGAAGAGGCAGUCAAAUGAUUAGGCUGGCGUAGCAAAGAUGCUGUCCUGGGAGAGGAACGAGAAAUACCAAUUCAGAGAAGAUACAGAAUGUAGUAGGACAAUGCUGCUGUUAGAAGAGUGUCUGGCAAAGGAAAGAGAAGAUGGUGGCAAGUGGAAGAUGAAGUGGUUCGGAAGAAGAGGAGAGGAAGGAGAAGCCAGUGAAAGGUGAGAACAAGAUCAAGCACAAAAUGAAGAUUGAUUCAUAGUUGAAAGUUCUGGAGAAAACUUAUGCUGGGGAAGCUUACCCUUCAGAAGUAGUGCAAGCUGAUUUAUUUUGUGAGUAUUUUUCGAGUAUUGGUAAGUGGUAACUAAGACCUUUAUUUUGGGCAUACUUUCAAGUAAGAUGUUUUUGUUAGAAGUUUUUCGAAUGCAUUCACUUUGCCAGUAAUUUCUGUUGCCAUGCCUUCAUAAAAAUCACAACUACCUGCACUGUUGAAGAUCAGUUUAGAGAUUAAUGCCAUCAACCUACUCAAAAGAGAUAUCUUGAAUCUCAAUAUUAACUUGGCAGAGCUUUAGGGACUACUUGACGAGAAAGAGGCAAAGUUAUUACACUACACUAGAUGUCAAGAGGCAUACAUCCAUCUCGUGCUUUUGGUGGUUUUCCUAAUCUUGAAGCAUUGGUAAUUGAAGCAAGUAAUGCUGAAGAAAUAGAUGACGAACAUUUUUAUACAUGUAAGUGCUCAAUAUUCAUGGUAGGUAGAUUUAGCAUCUUAAAACAAAUAUUCCUAUAUAAGCA